rnacentral:lncRNA from 1 species
CUCUUUGUUCCUACCCUCUGCUAUGAGAAGAGUGUUCCAGAGAGGGGCUGCUCCUCCAGCCUACAUCCUGGGAUGGAAAGAAAUGUGGAGCUCAGCAGAGCCCAAAGCAAGCCAGAGCUGACCUACAGAACUGGAAACCAGAAGUAAUGUCAGGAGAGGCUUUCCCAUCUGAAAGAUAAUGAAACACCUGCUAUUCCUGAGGAGUCCACUAGAGGAUGAGACUCAUCCAGCCAUCCAACCGAGAGAUAAGUGGGGAAACUUUGGCAAAAGGACUGUUGUCAACGUUGAAGUCAAGAUGGCAAAGCAAGAAUCCCCUCUGAUUGCAAGAAAUUGUCAGAAGAAGCUAUCCAGUCCUCUGAUUGUGGGAAUCUGCACCGAGCUGGCUACAGCUCUACAAAGAUGAGAUUUCCAGAAAGAAUGCUGCCAAUCGCCAGAGGCAGACAUGUUUAUCAGGCUGUGUAUCUUGAAGUCUGACAGAAAAUCUGUGGCCUUUGGUACAGCUGAAAAACACUCUGUCAACACCAUGGAGAGUGCAAGCCCGUUGUGCUGGCCUCAACCCAAGGAGUGCAGGGGAAUGGACAAAAAUUUGACUCAAGGCCAAAAAUUACAAGAGGAGGGAAAGUCAGACUUGAGGCAAACAAGCCUUUUCCAUCGGGUCUGUUUAAUAUCUCGUGUAAGCAUCCAAACCACAAAUCGGUCAGUGCUUAGGUGAAAAGACAAGUUUUUCUCCCUUUUGGAAAGCUAUUUUGCUUAAGCUCCUAUGAAUACAUCAAUUAUAUUAGCCCUGAGAGUGUCUGUCAGUGCAAUGUUAAAAGGUCCACUAUUUUUCAGACUGCCCACAUCAGAAACAAAAUACCCUUCAAACUCUCUGCCCUGAAUUGCUUGGGCCAAAGAGAGCUUGAGAGAAAAAGGCAUAAACUCCACAACAUUGACAGUGAGAAGAGCCACUGGUUUUAAGUAAAUUGUAGUCAUAUUUAUCAGCUUAAUAAAAUCCCCCCAGCACUCGUGUGCCAUCAAAUUCUUCAAUUUCAAAUUCAGGAAAAAUGGCUCUUUUGUGACAGAAGGUAUAAGGCCAAAGGGCAGGUUGUCAGCGAGACCGCCUCCCCUGCAGGCCAGUUGGGCUUGGAGCUUUGGGAAGGCAAGUUUGCAAGAGCCUAGGCCUGUUGCAGAAAUACUCUGUCCUCAGCUUUUCCUUCAGGGCCAGGUCCCUGGAUUCUUGGAUAAGACAUUUACAAUAUGCGGGCACCACACUGAAUCAGGACUGUGUGCAGAGAAGCAAACCAGGCCUUUCCACAUAGAUAGGAAAAAAUAAUCAUAACAGUUCAUGGUUAUGCAGCUUCCAGUGGACUCCAUUGUUACCUGGUAAUCAUCAGUCAAUUGCCAUCACCCUUAACCUUAAAGGUGUCACUUUCGUACUUCAGGUAUUCUUUCCAAAGUCCCUCUACCCCUUCUUCUCCCUGUCUUAUCUGUCCCUGAUCUCUGCCACCCUCAGUUGCUUACAUUGGCCAACCAGCCUGAAAUGGGAGAGGUUGAAUCCUUCAUGCUAUGUGCAUAGCCAACAUUCCACAAGAUUUAUGUCACUAAAGCCUGUGAAAAUGACAAAUGGUGAGAAAGAGGGCCAAAAAGGGAAGCAAAAAUAAAUCCAACUACGAUUUAACAAAGGGCGGCCCAGUAUCUGUACCUAGUGGGUACUGUGAUAUCUUGAGGGACAUGAAUUUAACAAGAGAAAUAAACUGCUGUAUGAGGAUCUUUAAAAUGCUCUUGUUUUCCAUUCAAAUUCUCUUUAGUAAAGUUGCUUUUUGCCCUGAAGUCAUAAUCCAAUUGUGUCAACGUGGUAAUUAAACAUCUGGAUUGAUUAGGUGGGGAAAGGGAGAUUAUUUUCUAAGAUAUUUUUUCUAAAAAAUAAGCUUAAGAGUAGAAGGGCUCUGGUUUCCCGGAGCUGUCUAGAGUCAUGGAAGGAAGGCCGCCAAUAUGAGGGAUGAGGAUGGCCACACAGUAGGGUGACUUUUCAAUAAAAUAACUUUUUUGUUCUUGUCACAUUUAGUGAGCUUACUGCAACUACUACCCUACCAAAGUCACUGACUUCAGUAAACCAUGGCUCAGCCAUAUGAUGAAUCAUCCAGAUGAUCAAAAUUAUUCUUAUGAAGAGCUUUUAACAACAAAUACAGAUACUUGUGAUAUAACACUGUGAACAAAAGCAAGAUAUACAAGGGCAUUUGCAGUAUAAUGACAACUAUGAAACCGAUCCACAUACGAGAACAGCAAUACUCCAAAACUUCAAAAGGUGAUUAGCUAUAGAUGGUGGGAUUCUAGAUGAUUUUUGUUAUUUUCUAGACCUUGUAUUGAGUAUUCUAUAGUAAGUAUGGAUUCAUUUUUAUAAUUAAAAAUAUAUUUUUAAAUGGAAUAAAAUCUAUAAAAGGCAUCACCUACUUCUUUCAAAGGUCACAUAUUCCUUAAUCAUGGCUUGAAGCCUCAGAGCUAAAAUGGCAGUGUUCAAAAUAUACAUCUGCUUUAGAACCUAUUUUCUUCAAUCUUUCCUAUGAUACUUAAAAUUUCAUAGACCUUCACAGAAAUGUGGGAGGAAAUCUGUUAGUGACUUUGUACACGCACCCAGAUGAUCUGGAACUGGUACUCUCCAGUGAAGCAGCCACUGGUCACUGAGGCUACCAAGCACUCGAAAUGUGUCUGGUCCAAGCUGAGAUGAGCUCUGAGAAUGAAAUACACACCAGCUAUUGAAUAUAUGGGAAGGGGCAAAAAAUGUAAAAUAUCUCAAUACUAACUUUAUAUUGAUUACAUGUUGAAGUGAUAUUUUUGAGAUAUUGCAUUUAAUGAAAAAUACUAUUAAAUAAUUUCACCUUUUUUUUAAUGUGUAAUAUAAUGUAAUAUGUAAAAUGAGCUAUGUAGCUCACAUUAGCGCUCUUUUGGACUGAAAUACUCUAGAAAAAAAUUCUGCAGAAGUGUGCUUCGAUUAUCCAUCUAUCAUCUUUCAGAAACAUGCAGGAUCUGAAUACACACAGAUUGCUUGCCCAAGCCAGAUCUAUGGCCCCCAGUAAAAUGUAUUCUCCUGCCCCUCUUCCAAGUUGUAUCACACUUUUAGUGGUCAGACAAUUUCAGUUAUUUCCAAGCGCAGACGAAUUGAGGCCAGUUCGAUGAACAGCACUUACAGGCUGCACCUAACAGCCGUCUUGCCUUUCUUCAGACUGACACGGCCCACAGAGCUCAGAAUUCUCUAACUCCCUAACAUCUGCCUCUGUUCCCAUGGAUUCACUCACACAUCUGUGUAACACUUCAUUCAAAGGACACAGUCCCCAUUUGAGACAGCCUCAAAUAUUCACAGCUCCCAAAAGGCUGUGCCAAAGAAACUUCCUCCGUGUAGCUGUAGGCCAUCUCUCAAAGUGCCCUUGGUGUGAGGGGACUGAAAAUUAUUGCUCUUCAAAAGGGCAGGGGAAAAUGAAAGGAAGGAUUAUAUCUGCCUGAACUGCCAAACCAAACUCUGAGAAGCAGAUUCUCCAGAGAGUGACUCAGGCCCACAUGAUGUUUGUUGGGGAUGAUGUUUUCACUGGGAGGCGAAGUGUGCAUUUGCUUA